GUCCACGCCGUAAACGUUGGGCACUAGGUGUGGGCCUCAACCAACGAGGUCCGUGCCGUCGCUAACGCAUUAAGUGCCCCGCCUGGGGAGUACGGCCGCAAGGCUAAAACUCAAAGGAAUUGACGGGGGCCCGCACAAGCAGCGGAGCGUGUUGCUUAAUUCGAUGCAACGCGAAGAACCUUACCUGGGUUUGACAUGUAGGGAAAAGCCGUAGAGAUACGGUGUCCUUCGGGGCCUUACACAGGUGGUGCAUGGCUGUCGU
rnacentral:rRNA from 1 species